rnacentral:misc_RNA from 1 species
CCGAGUUUACAACUCCCAAACCCCUGUGAACAUACCAAUUGUUGCCUCGGCGGAUCAGCCCGCUCCCGGUAAACGGGACGGCCCGCCAGAGGACCCCUAAACUCUGUUUCUAUAUGUAACUUCUGAGUAAAACCAUAAAUAAAUCA